CUUUGUUUAUCCAAAUAAAAAGCAUGAAUUGAAAUCAGGUAAACAAAUUGCUUUUAAUUUUUUUUUUUCAGAACUGGUAACACAUCAUUGUUGUUGCCAAUCAUUUGGAAAUUUGAAGUACGUGUUUAGUGGAAAAUUGACAAUUUAAAAACACCUGGAAGUACAAAUAGAUGACAUGGCUAAUGCAGCUAUCUGUUUUAACCUGUGUAAUUAUAAAUGGCAAUAAAAAUCCAAAUCCCUUGUGUUGGAGGGUGGGACCAAUGUUAAGAUCAAGUUUCUCACCGUCUUCAGUACUUGUAUGAGGAUUGUGGAAAAUUCCUAGUCAAUGGGAAAAAUCUGCAUUGGUCAGAGUAGCAUUGCCUGCAAGAAAGAAGGAUCCAAAACUUCUUGGCUGCUUGCUCUUCAGUGACCAAGUAACAAACAGUGAAGCAGGAGCAUUGCUUCAGAAUGGGAAGCUGUACUAACAAGUCAGAAGAGAAGGCUAAAAUUGAAGUGAUCUUGAAACUCUACUGCAUUGCCUACAGGUAACACCAACAGAAGGAUGGCCAUGUGAGGGCUGUAGU
rnacentral:lncRNA from 1 species